rnacentral:lncRNA from 1 species
CCUCAGCUUCCCAGUCUCUCUUCCAUUACCGAGCCUUAACCCCAAACUGUAUUCUGCCUCCUUCUCCAACCUCCCUUCCCAGAGCCAGUGCCCCCUCAUCAUUGCACAGUCAGUGAAUGAGUAAGUAAAUAUGUGAAUAAACACAUUUCCUUCGUGCACAUGUAAGGAAGUCUAGGAAUCAGGAUACAGGCAGGGUGGAAUACGGAGAAAGUGUUCUGGAUGACUUUGUAUUAAAUACACGAGUUUGGAAGUGUCAGCCACAGACAUCCCAUGCACAGAUGGCUAUGCCUCUCUAGCAAAGCACCUCUGUGCUGCUUUCUCUGCAGGACACACUCUCCCUGGUGAAGUCCACAGCAACAUCCUUGAAGAACACUGGUUCCUGGAUAGAUGGUGGGCAUUCUUAUUCAGCCUGCACCAUCUCUGGCAACGUCCACAGGAAAUGGUCAAGGACUAUCUCCCUUUCCACUGGGAAAAGACGCACCAGAGAUGCAUCUGUGCCGUUCAGAGCAGAAAAGGCAGGUUCCUAGUCUCCUGCCCGCCAGAGCAGGAUGGUUAGAGCUCACUCUGUAGUGAUUAUUGGGUGCCUCCUGCUGGAACCCCCACUGGAGCACUGAAAUUCUCAAUGUCCUGCUUUAUCUGCUGUGUUGGCUGGGGCAUGCCUUGGAUCCAUGAAAACAUAAAGUGAAGAAAGUAUUCUUCAAUUCCUUGUCACUCUUUUUUCACUCAUCAUUAGUUAUCGAAUUUAGUGCCCAGCCAAGAAAACAGAGACCAAGAGAGACUGUGGAAAGACCAUGGUGUACCAAGACAUCUAUCUUACAGACGCAGCUUCUCACAGGGCGUUUGGAAACUUCCAGCCAGUCUGUAUCCCAAAUAGGCACAAGAGGAACCACCUCAGUCAAUUUGGAGACUCCAGGAGCACACACUACAAAUAAAUAUGAGCGCGGAAGAUUUGAUGGAGAAGGUGGUAGGAGGUAGAUAGUUUCCACAGGCAGAGCUACAUCACUCAAAUCCUAUGAAAGGAGAGAACGGGCAGAAGGAAAACUAUGGAGAUGAGAUAU